UGGGGAAUAUUGCACAAUGGAGGGAACUCUGAUGCAGCGACGCCGCGUGAACGAAGAAGGCUUUCGAGUCGUAAAGUUCUUUUAUAUGGGAAGAUAAUGACGGUACCAUAAGAAAAAGCCCCGGCUAACUACGUGCCAGCAGCCGCGGUAAUACGUAGGGGGCUAGCGUUGUUCGGAAUCACUGGGCGUAAAGGGUUCGCAGGCGGAAAUGCAAGUCAGGUGUAAAAGGCAGUAGCUUAACUACUGUAAGCAUUUGAAACUGCAUAUCUUGAGAAGAGUAGAGGUAAGUGGAAUUUUUAGUGUAGCGGUGAAAUGCGUAGAUAUUAAAAAGAAUACCGGUGGCGAAGGCGACGUACUGGGCUCAUUCUGACGCUGAGGAACGAAAGCGUGGGUAGCAAACAGG
rnacentral:rRNA from 1 species